rnacentral:rRNA from 2 species
UUCCGGUUGAUCCUGCCAGACCUGACUGCUAUCGGAUUGAUACUAAGCCAUGCGAGUCAUUGUAGCAAUGCAAGGCAGACGGCUCAGUAACGCGUAGUCAACCUAACCUAUGGACGGGAAUAACCUCGGGAAACUGAGAAUAAUGCCCGAUAGAACACUAUAUCUGGAAUGGUUUGUGUUCCAAAUGAUUUAUCGCCGUAGGAUGGGACUGCGGCCUAUCAGUUUGUUGGUGAGGUAAUGGCCCACCAAGACUAUUACAGGUACGGGCUCUGAGAGGAGUAGCCCGGAGAUGGGUACUGAGACACGGACCCAGGCCCUAUGGGGCGCAGCAGGCGAGAAAACUUUGCAAUGUGCGAAAGCACGACAAGGUUAAUCCGAGUGGUUUGUGCUAAACGAACCUUUUGUCGGUCCUAGAAACACCGAUGAAUAAGGGGUGGGCAAGUUCUGGUGUCAGCCGCCGCGGUAAAACCAGCACCUCAAGUGGUCAGGAUGAUUAUUGGGCCUAAAGCAUCCGUAGCCGGCGCUAUAAGUUUUCGGUUAAAUCUGUACGCUCAACGUACAGGCUGCCGGGAAUACUGUAGCGCUAGGGAGUGGGAGAGGUAGACGGUACUCGGUAGGAAGGGGUAAAAUCCUUUGAUCUAUUGAUGACCACCUGUGGCGAAGGCGGUCUACCAGAACACGUCCGACGGUGAGGGAUGAAAGCUGGGGGAGCAAACCGGAUUAGAUACCCGGGUAGUCCCAGCUGUAAACUAUGCAAACUCAGUGAUGCAUUGGCUUGUGGCCAAUGCAGUGCUGCAGGGAAGCCGUUAAGUUUGCCGCCUGGGAAGUACGUACGCAAGUAUGAAACUUAAAGGAAUUGGCGGGGGAGCACCACAAGGGGUGAAGCCUGCGGUUCAAUUGGAUUCAACGCCGGG